rnacentral:rRNA from 1 species
GGUGCCAGCAGCCGCGGUAAUUCCAGCUCCAAUAGCGUAUAUUAAAGUUGUUGCAGUUAAAAAGCUCGUAGUUGAAUUUCGGGAUCAAUAUUUCGGUCAUGCCGUUGGUAUGCACUGUUAUCAUUGAUUUCUCACCUUCUAAAGAACCGUAAUGCCAUUAAUUUGGUGUUACGGGGAAUUAGGACUGUUACCUUGAAAAAAUUAGAGUGUUUAAAGCAGGCUCACGCUUGAAUACAUUAGCAUGGAAUAAUGAAAUAGGACAUCCGAUUCUAUUUUGUUGGUUUCUAGGAUCGAUGUAAUGAUUAAUAGGGAUAGUUGGGGGCAUUAGUAUUCAAUUGUCAGAGGUGAAAUUCUUGGAUUUAUUGAAGACUAACUACUGCGAAAGCAUUUGCCAAGGAUGUUUUCAUUAAUCAAGAACGAAAGUUAGGGGAUCGAAGACGAUCAG